GAAACUCCAAAGACAAUCACAAAGAAAAAUCCGAAGAAAAACCUAAAGAAAAAUCCAAAGAAAAACACACAAAAAACCACAAAGAAAAAUCCAAAGUACGGUCCAAAAAGUAAUUAAAGCGGAGUAAUAAUGAAAGGAAGAAAAGACUAAGCUCAAUGAAGAACCCUACGUCUAUUAAUUCAUAUCUUUAUCCUCUUCCCCGUGGCGGUAACUUGUGGCAGAAAGUCUUGUGUAAAGGAGCUUGAGAAAUAACAGUUGCCAAUCUAAAUAAGUCGCAGUGCUCUCUUUCUCAUCCUUAUUAUAGAAAAAACGAGCAAAUUGAAGUCAAAAAGAGCAAUUAUGAAAGCGUAUUGAAGAUGCUGCUUCUAUUACUGAAACUCUUAAUUUUGAUUAUCACGGUGUCAAGUUGUUAUUCAUGUAAACGUUCAAAGCCCCAAAGGGGGGUAGUCCUAAUUGAACCUCAGGAUCGACAAAGAAAAAGAUUCAGAAGCCCUUUCAUGUCCUCUAAAAUUCAACGGCCGUGCCGAACAGCAUCUAGAGGACGGUAUCCUGAUAACCGCUGAAAUUCCCAGCACAAUGAAGAUCCUCAUCUUAUUAUUAUAUCUCUUCAUAAUAAUGGUAUCAAGUUGUAGAUUUUACAAGUUUCAACCCCAAAGAGAAGUUGAAAUUAAGAUAGAACAACGAAAAAGACUCAGACAAUCUUUCAUACCUUACAAAGAUCAAAGGGCGCGCCCAGACCGUCUCCUCAUCGCAGCAGCCAUCCUAAAACACGAGGAAGAUUAUUAAAUACUUUAUAUACACGUGUCCAAACCCUUGGUAUCAUCACAUGAAUCUCAGAAAAAAAUCCCAAAGAUCGACAAGUCCCAAUAGAUCACAAGUGCACUUUAAAGAUUUUUGUUUUGAUAAAUAAUGCAUGGACAUAGAAAAUCGAGGCUUUGGAGAAAUGCCCAAACCAUCUUCUAAUCUCAGCAAUCCUCCUAAAAGACAGUUCCCGUGCCGAGGAAGGUUCAUUCAUCCUUACAUCCGGUAUAAAGAGCAACGUCGACCACCUCCGUGUCCAAGUCCAUGUAUACCACCAACACCAGAGUAUCCUGGCCAGCCACUAAAACAAAAUCGCUUAAACCAAAAAGAAUAUCGCUGACAGCACAAUGAAACCUGAUAUUGACAUAAAGUGUCCUCGGUGCUACAAUAAUCCGAACAAAAGAGAUAUAAAGAUCUGGAUUCCGCCUUCAACGGGAAGUCGACUCACACAACCAUUCAUACAACAUAAAAAGGCACAAGUUAAAACCAUUGUUCCCAGGGCAAGCACUGGGACAAAAAUAAAGAAAAGGUCCAAAAAAGGAUUUAAAAAAGUAAAAAAAUGCCCCGAUUGUGGUCCUAGUUCGAGUGCGAAAAAUAAAAAGUCGGUCAACGAACACGUCUAGACAGAGCAAUCGUGCGGGGUGUGUGAGGCGAGAGAGGGUAGGGUGUGAGCCCGAACUCCCAUACAACUCACUCGGGACACACCAUUCCGGAUUGCGGCAUUUAUGUUAGAUACUUCGUGUGAAACUUAGAAACCCAUAACUUCUGGAUCCUAGGUGAACACAGCAUGUUGAAAAUUAUUUACUUGAUUCUACACUUGUGUUUUAUGCUUCUUGGAGUAUCUGGAUGCAAGAAAGGUUCGACACACUCGUCUCGUUCGUCUAGUAGUUCUAAAUCUCUGUCAGUCGCUAGUUCCAAGUCUAAGUCGCCAUCAGUGGACUCAGCUAAGCGAUAAACGCAUUGCAUUGAAUUCCCAUCAACAAUGUUGCUGAAACUAUUAAUUAUGUGCAUACACUUAUGCAUACUGAUUAUUAAAGUAUCUGGAUGCGUGAGACGCAUUGAAGACUUACGUCGUGAAACUAUCGUUUUUCCUCGGCCUUACCACGCCAACGACCCUUCGAAUAUUAAUAGACUCAGAAACAUACCACCGGGGCACCGGCCAAGAUUUUUUAAAAAUACUGUUGACACCCCUUCUGCUGAAGAAAUAUAAUGAAUAUUGCUCCCUUUUAAAAGUUUCCGUCAAACAAUGGUGAUAAAACUAUUGUUAUUUUGCUUACAUUUAUGCGUAUUGCUGUGUAAAGGCUUUGGAUGCAGGAGUAGACGAAUACUUGGAUUAGGAGAAAUUCGUCGUACCGUAAUCAUGCCGCGACCGUACCGCACUCGAGAUCCUAUAAACAUUGAGAGAAUUAGUCAAAUACCACUAGAUCACAGACCUAGAUUUAUUAGUACGGUCAAUGACACUACAGGUUCAAUCGAUGCAACGGGGAUGAUAACUCGCUAAAAUGUUUGGAACGCUCCUGUUUCUUUUGCAAGUUUUCGCCAUAUUGGCGGGUACUUUCGGUUGUCAGAAACGGACACUUACAGGCGGCAAGACGCUCUCCAUUGACACAGUCAGCACUAAAACAAGUAUUAACAGCGGCAAGACAGCUAGUACUAUUUAUUGACGGUUCACAUGAUGCUUAUCAUAAUAAUUUUGCACUUGCUAAAUUUGGUAUUGUACGCGUUUUGUUGCCAAGAGAAGAAUCCUGUACCGAAAAGAAGAAGAUACUCUGGAUGCCCGAAAGGAUGCUGCAUGUGUAACGGGCCUAUGAUGGGCCACAAAUUGUUAAUCGGUCCAAAUUUUAUGACACUUGAAGAACAUCAAUUAACUCACGAAGAAAGAGACAAAGAAUUCUACUGCUGCAAACGGAAGGAUACAAAGUGUGAUGUAAAAAAACGAAAGGGGCUAGUAAAAACAUGCUGCUGUGAUAUAUGAAUACCC